GGGAAUGUGGCUUAGUGGUAGAGUGCUUGCUUAGCAUGCAUGAAGCCCUGGGUUCAAUUCCCCAGUACCA
rnacentral:tRNA from 1 species